ensembl:lncRNA
GCAAAUUGUAGCAAUGAAUAAGCAAGAGACGUCAGCUGCUGCUAAUAGAACUGGAGGAGACACCAGUGACUGUCACCCCGGUGAUGCACAUAAAGUCAGCAAUGUUCCUGCAACUGCAGAGGUGAGCAAGGGAAUCGCCUCCCUGCCAUCUCCCGACAAAACCCGGCCAGAGAAGCAGCAAUUGGGUUACAGUCUCUUAGAAGAGACUCCACCCUGGGAAAGACAAUCAUUUGUGGACAAUACUUUUAACGUCUCCUUUCAAGAGGAUGUGGGGACUCCUGUCGCCACAGGUCGCCUGACCCCUGGUCUCAGGCGCCUUUGUUUGGAUGGGAGCCCAAUGAUGGCUUGGGCGAGGCCUGACAGGCACAGUCCUUUCCAGCAAGCCACUUCUCCAUCUCUGGUGAACGAGAGCCCGCCGGCGAGUUUUAUCGACUGUUCCAUCGCACCCAUCACACCCACUGGGCCGGCAAAUACGGUGGAUCUGCCAAGUGGCGCCGGCACUGUCAUUACUGUGCUCUUACCGGAUGUUGUGCCAUUGACUCCCCAAAAUGACACCAUGGAUGUGGGGUGUGGAAGCGGAAGUCCUGCUCUCAGCGUUGUUUUGCCCUGUCCCCAAAACACAGUGGACUCGCCUUGUAGGGACAGUGCAACUGCAGCUGUAGCCAAUAUUGACCGUCUAGCCGCAGACAUAAACGGCACCAUGGAUCUGCCAAAUGGCACCAGUAGUGCUGGGGCAGUUAGUGACAUCACAAUGAAUGGGGCCGUGGACCUGGCAGACUGUGUUGGCAGCACCGGCGCUACGCCUACUGGACAGGAAAACAUCACCGUGGAGAUAAGGAGUGAUUGCAGCAAGACCAUGUCUGAAGUUGCUUCCAGUAUCUCCACACCUGCUCCAGAGAUCAACAUCACCAUGGAGAUAAGGAGUGAUUGCAGCAUGACCAUGUCUGAAGUUGCUUCCAGUAUCUCCACACCUGCUCCAGAGAUCAACACCACUGUGGAUAAAGAGAAUGAUGGCAAGUCAACCACAACUGAGGUCAAAUCCAUCGUGCCUGUCCAUCACAAUACCACAGUGGAUUUUCCAAACGGAAAUGGAAGCGGCACCAGUGACGUGUCUAUGACUGCUCGUCACAAUGGAACAGUGGAUUUGGCAACCCCCGUUUCCACAAAACCUGCCAGAGAGAUGAAUAGCACUGUAGAGCUGGUGCGAAGAGGUAACAAUCCGCUUACCAUGGCAUCUGCUAAAGCAAUGAACAUCACUGUUGAGGUGCUGAGCACCACCACCAGUGCCUCACCCAGCGUGCCUACGGUGGCUCCGACCACCACCACUGCAAACGAUGUCACGCUGGCGGAGAGCCUGAGCGCGUCCCCGGAGAUGAUGGUGAAGCGCCCGCCGCUAGAGGUAAACGUGUUCAUGCUGGACGAGUCAUUGGACCUGCAUUCGGCCGGCCUGGUGACCUCCACGCCCAUGCCUGAGCACCGCGAGUUCUCCUUCUCCCGGCCCGCCAAAGUCAUCGGGAAGGCCUGCGAGGCCCGCAAGCAGCUGGUGCUCCCCUCCAACACCACCCCCCCCCCACCAAAACCGAUGGUGACCCACCGGGUGGAGACCCCCCUGCUGCAGCUCCAGCCCUCCCCUGUGAGGAAGGGAGAGAAGAAGCAACGGCCGGCCUGAAGCAGAGACGUCCCCAAGCCAAGGGCAUCUUGUUUCCCAGAGUAGUAGGGAUGUCGGCAGUGUCGGGGCACGGUAUCAAGCUCCCAGGACUUCCUGUCACUCGCCGUGCCAUCCCUAAGCCCACGUGCACUCUGGCCAACAGCAUGUUAGAGGGUAAUGCAGCACCAUCUGGGAUUCCUGGGGCGUAUAAAAGAUUUUCACUUGGAAUGAAGGCGGCCCUGCGCAGUGCUGCCUCUGCCACUCCCACACAGCAGCCAGCCCCAGCUGCUGAGAAACGCCUCAGCCUGGCCCCAGCCUGCUCAGCACGCCUCAGGAAAAAAACAAACGAGGGAGCCAUUCCCUCCCUGAGCAAAGACACUGCAGCCAGCUCAGUGCGACCCUCUCAAGCCUCUGCUAGCCUGAAAAGACCCGUCCCUGAGCCCAAAGGAGGCCCAGCCAAGAGGUCGAAAGGAGAACCAGUAUCUAAUAUCAGAUCUGGUCUUCUGAGGAAGCGAGGUGCUUCAUCUGUGACUGCUCCCUCAUUGGACAGCGAGGACACUUACCUGUGCGAGUGUGGUCGCAAGACAGCUUGCAAGAAAUGUCAACAUCUCCUACAAGAAAAUCAGAAACUACGCCGGGAGCUCAGCACGCUAAAAAGUCACAAAUAAAGAGACUGAGAAUCUCCACAUUUGACCUCCCCGUCUCACUUGUCCAAAUUUAUGACGACUAUGAUGACUAUGAUUGUACAUGAAUAAAGAAAUGUAAUGUUUUUU